rnacentral:rRNA from 1 species
CUGGUACUGAGACACGGACCAGACUCCUACGGGAGGCAGCAGUGAGGAAUAUUGGGCAAUGGAGGCAACUCUGACCCAGCCAUGCCGCGUGCAGGAUGACGGCCCUAUGGGUUGUAAACUGCUUUUAUACAGGAAUAAACCCCCGAACGUGUUCGGGGCUGAAGGUACUGUACGAAUAAGCACCGGCUAACUCCCGUGCCAGCAGCCGCGGUAAUACGGAGGGUGCAAGCGUUAUCCGGAUUCAUUGGGUUUAAAGGGUCCGCAGGCGGGGUAUUAAGUCAGUGGUGAAAGCCGGCAGCUCAACUGUCGAAUUGCCAUUGAUACUGGUACUCUUGAGUGUAGUUGAAGUAGGCGGAAUAAGUCNAUGUAGCGGGUGAAAUGCAUAGAUAUGACUUAAGAACACCGAUUGCGAAGGCAGCUUACUAAGCUAAUAACUGACGCUCAUGGACGAAAGCGUGGGGAGCGAACAGGAUUAGAUACCCUGGUAGUCCCACGCCGCAAACGAUGAUCACUCGCUGUUGGCGAUAUACAGUCAGCGGCCAAGCGAAAGCAUUUAAGUUGAUCCACCUGGGGNAGNUACGCUCGCAAGAGUGAAACUCAAAGGAAAUUGACGGGGGCCCGCACAAGCGGUGGAGCAUGUGGUUUAAAUUCGAUGAUACGCGGAGGAACCUUACCUGGGCUUAAAUGCAGAUUGACAGAUUGGGGAAACCGAUUUUUCUUCGGACAAUUUGCAAGGUGCUGCAUGGUUGUCGUCAGCUCGUGCCGUGAGGUGUCGGGUUAAGUCCCAUAACGAGCGCAACCCCUAUUCUUAGUUGCCAGCGGUUCGGCCGGGGACUCUAAGAAAACUGCCCGCGCAAGCGGUGAGGAAGGUGGGGAUGACGUCAAAUCAUCACGGCCCUUACGUCCAGGGCUACACACGUGCUACAAUGGUGUUGACAGAGGGCAGCUACACUGCGAAGUGAUGCUAAUCCUAAAACAACAUCUCAGUUCGGAUCGGAGUCUGCAACUCGAUCCGUGAAGCUGGAAUCGCUAGUAAUCGCGCAUCAGCCAUGGCGCGGUGAAUACGUUCCCGGGCCUUGUACACACCGCCCGUCAAGCCAUGGAAGCUGGGGGUGCUGAAGUCGGUAACCGCAAGGAGCUGCCUAGGGUAAAACCAGUAACUGGGGCUAAGUCGUAACAAGGUAGCCGUACCGGAAGGUGCGGCUGGAUCACCU